rnacentral:rRNA from 1 species
UACGUAGGGGGCGAGCGUUGUCCGGAUUUAUUGGGCGUAAAGAGCGUGUAGGCGGUUCGGUAAGUCUGUCGUGAAAUCCUGAGGCUCAACCUCGGGCGUGCGAUGGAUACUGCCGGGCUAGAGGAUGGUAGAGGCGAGUGGAAUUCCCGGUGUAGCGGUGAAAUGCGCAGAUAUCGGGAGGAACACCAGUAGCGAAAGCGGCUUCCUGGUCCAGCACCGACGUUCAGGCACGAAAGCGUGGGGAGCAAACAGG